rfam:Agrobacterium vitis S4 chromosome 1, complete sequence.
CACACGUGAAGCUUGGGAUAGGCCGGGAGACAUCCGGUCCGUUCCGCCCGGUGGCGUUUUGAAAAAGACGCUGUUUGCUUCACGGGGGUUCAACCGGAAAAGGAGAAAAAGG